AUAAAAUUAUAGUAAGAAAACCCGCAGUUAAAAAUAAAAAUCGACGUGUCCGAGCGUUUUUUUUUUUUGAACAUACCCCUGAAUUUUAAAUGAAUUUAUUCCGGACUUUUGGCUCUCACUGUAUGUAUUCUCAUUUAAAACAAAACUCUUUUAAUGAUCUAUAAUAAUUCUAUCUCAAUUUAACAACAACAGAAGGUUAUAGGAGAAAUAUAUCCUUUGUCUAAUUCGUUGAGAUGCUUACUGUUUAGCGGCAGUGGAGCGUCUGGAGAACCCCAACUCUAGGUGACACUAGCUAGUCGUCAAAUAAAGGAAGAUAACAUGUUUGACAUAUGUAAAUAUUGAAAUGUGACAUUGUGUAAAUUGAUGUUGACUGAGAUGAUGCAAGGGAACGGAAGUUCCCGGUGAGUAUAUUUUAUAUUUGCCAAAAGACAGAACAGUAAAUAUUGUUUUUUUUUAUUAUUUUUAUGUGAUGUUCGAGUUUAUGUCUAACAAUAUGAGAAGGAUGACUGUUGAGUGAAUUUGCAUUGUAGAGACCCAUUGGCUAAGAACAACUCUGACAGUAUAAAACUAAGAUGAAAACUUGCGAGUGCCCAAGCUCAAAAACAUUAGCCAGAAUGCAUCACGAGGGCCCAAGCUCAAAAACAUAAGCCAGAAAGCAUCACGAGUGCCCAAGCUCAAAAACAUAAGCCAGAAAGCAUCACAAAUGCCCAAGCUUAAAAACAAAUCAAAAACAUUAGCCAGAAGGCAUCACAAGUGCCCAAGAUCAAUAUAGUUUUAACUGUAAACGCUAACACGGUCAUUUUCAAUUAAAACAAUGGUAUUUACCUUAUGUUCGUUAUCAUCAAAAACAUAGGUUUCGAGCAAAUCCGAACAGUCCUCAGGACUUUAAUCUUUGGGCCAAAGGCGCAUCUGAUAAGCAGCUGCUACCGUAACCUUGGUAGAGUCAGCUAAAUCACUAAUUUUUCUAAGUUCAUAUCGGCCUGGAGAUAAUAUGUUAGUCACUUUGUAAGGUCCAAUCCAAUCUGAUUCAAAUUUCCUUGACUUAAUGGUUUCUCUCGAAAUUAGUCCAUAAUCAUCAAUAUUAUAUACUUUUUGAGGUUUUGAACGGUUUCUUGACCGCUCAUCGUCUUUAAUAGUAUUUUCAUCAAGGCGUCUUUAAACGAAUUCUCUCUACUUCUCAUGCUGAACAGCAGAAGUAUAGAGUUUAUCUUCAGAAGCAUUUUCAAUUAUGCGCUGAAUUUCUGGUAAUCUGUUGUCACAUCCAAAAAAAGUUUGAAUGAACAGUGGUAUUUAUUAUAAGCUGAAUUCGGGAUACGAACGUACUCCAUUCAGACGUAACUUUAGCCUAAACGCGUAAAAGGUUUACUACAAAACGCAUAUAACGUUCCACUUGACCAUUCGCUAGAUGCACGUAGGAUGUAAUAAAAUGCCACUGAAUGUUCCAUCACUUCCAUCCGGGGAGAACUUCAUGAUUUGGGCUGCACGCAACAAAGUGCCAUUGUCGGUUAUUGUGCGGACUGGAGUACCCACAAGGUUUAUUAUAUCCAUGAGACAGUCGGCAAUUUCUUCGAAUUUAAGGCGCAUUCUUGGGAACAAAAAUGAGAAUUUAUGCUUAAUACAGUUUUAUCAAUACCAAUGCAAAUAACAAAAUAUUGCGUUACUGUUUCUGAAUUUAACUCGCUUAUAUGACAUAAUGUGUUUUCGAUUAUACAAUUUUUUUAAAAUCUAAUUCGUCGUUAGUUAGUUUAUCUUUCAUGUCCUGUGCUUCGCUGUCCAUACUUUGCUGAAUGGACAUCCAACCACUAGGCAAUAAGCUUAAAGAUUCUUUUUCAUCGUCUUCAGUUAAUCUUAUUUUAUUUUUCUUCAGUUCAAAAAUCCCUGAAUCAUCAUUAGCUUUAUUAUGGCGUAUAAGAGCAACCUAUGCUCCAGUAUCUAAUAAAACUUCUUGAAAAAUACCAUUAAUAUUUAGUGAAUACAAACAGAGUUUGUCAUUCAUUACCACUUUACUGACGCCACAAACGUUUACGUGUUUAGAAGUAUCGGGUUUCUGCUUAUUAUCGGCCCGAAUUCCCUUUAAACACUUAUCAAAUGAAUGACCGAUUUUUUACAACAAUUGCAUGAUAUUAUGCAAUCCAAUUAUGCAAUUAUUAUUUGCAUAAUAAUUGCAUAAUUGGUAACUUUAGAUGGACCCUUUCCCUUUUAAUCCCUCGAGACAUACAUUCUGCCCGACGAUGACCCAUCUUUCCGCAGUUAAACCAUUCAAUGUAAUUUUAAACGACCGUAUGAACCAAAAGACGGACAACCGUCAGAAUUAUAGGCCAAUGCAUUAGACAUUAAUUGACCAAAAUUUGCACUACCUGCAAAACUUUCGCACAAAUCUCUUUUUAAAUUUUCCCAAGAACACCUAUCUAAAGGAGACCAAUUUUUAAACCACUCAUGUGCUUCCCCUUCAAAACAAUUUCCAAUUGCAGCAAUAAGUACACCAGUACUCCAACCCAAGUUGGUAGCCAAUUCGGACACAUCAUUGACCCAUCUUUGCGGGUCAUCUCGUCCAGGUACAAAGUCCGGCAAACUAAUGCAAUCCCAAUAUGGCACAUUCACACGCGAAUCGGCACGCUCUAAAUAUCCGCGUUGCAAAUUCUCCAAAGUGGAGCCCACAUUUGCACUUCCUUCCGGCAUUUUUAAAUUAAUUGACACAAUAGUUUACGUAACGGAUAACAAGACACGUUUUCGGGUAAUCCCACUUCUGAUUUUAGAAUAUUAGACUUAAAUGAAAGUCUAAUAAAAAUUAAAAACACACUGUAUUUGUCACUGAAAAUGAGGAAUAUCAAAGGUGACCGUUUACACCAAGGCUCGUGGUGAUUCUGUUUUUUUGUCAACGAUCUCGAAUCCCGCUGACGCAAGACCCUAUCGAAUUACCACUUGGACUUGUCUGUGUUUAUAUAAUAAAUCCUAAGAUAAGGCGGCACUGUUGUGCCUAAUUCGAAUAACAUAGAACAUACAGACUCAUUUAUAAUAUAUUUUAACUGAACGCUAACACUCUUAUUAUAUAUAAACUGAUUAAAUAAUCUAAAUAUAGUGCUCUUGACGGAGCAUUUCUAUUAUUUUCUGCAAGCUUAAAAACCUUUAUGUUAUUUGCAUUUAUUGAUCACCGUUAUCCGUUCUGAAUAUUUUUUUUCUUAAGUUUGGAGAGUUGAUCAGCGUAAAUUUCUUGCUCGAAUCAAAUUAUACUGGCAGGAGACUUAGACAUCAACAACUACACUGACGACGACAACUGUGCUGCCAUAUUGCGCUCAAAAAAAUCUUUAUAAUUCAUUCAUUGGCAAUGCAUGUAAACUCGCCGACAGGAAUUUGCAAUGUUCGUCCAAUACUACAUAUAACUACUAUGUAUGUUCUAACCUUAAGAAUAAUAUUAUUAAAGGCACUGUGGAAAGCUCUAUUUAAUAUUGCUUUCCCAGUAGUUACGCUAAAACCAAAGGUUGAAAAAGUCAUCUAAAAAUCUGCGUUCACUAAUUAUAGUAAGAAAAUAUACAGAUUGUCCAGAAUUGUAUCCAUACUUACUUUUAUUCCUACCGCUCAUUAUUUCGCCGUCUAAGACUCUGAAAACAAGCCCAUUAUUCAAAUCGCAUGAAUAAUUUGUCAAAUAAAUAAAGCGAGUAAAUAUGCUAAAGCGAUAUCUUCAAGGCUGUAAUGCGGUGAAAUUAACAACUGAGGAACUUGGUGCAUCAGUUGGUAGAUCUGUUUAUUUUGCUUUGAUUGAAUCGCUUAUGAGGUAUGGUAUUUGUUUCUGGGAAAAUACUAGCCACUACCUUAUCCAGUCAAUUUAUGAAAGCUUCAUUAAAGAGCGUGUUCUUAGAACUUGUCACGAGUAUCUAAAUACUGGUGGUAAGUAAAAAAGACACCUCAACUAAACAACUUGCAUCUGCCUAUUCCUAUAUCUACGUUGAUCUAGAAAUAUAUCAUCUAUGGAGGCAUAAAGGUAUUUAAUCACCUACCAGUCAACAUUAAAAAGGCAAUGUCAAUGAAUAUAUUUAGACAGCAACUGCAUAUACUCUUAGUGGGAAGGCAUAUUAUUCUUUAUUGGAAUUUUCUGAAGAUUCAUUUUAAUCAUAUGUUUUUAUGUGUAUAUUAUCUAUUUAUUUUUAUGCCUCUCUACAUUUUGAUAUGUAAUGCUGAAUUUGAGGACACAAUUUUUAUUAAUAAUGUUUGUAUAUUCUCUUAUUUUGCAUACUUAUUUAUAGAGUGCUUUCUCUUUUUUUUUUAUUUAUAUAUAAAGUAGGUAUUUUUAAUAGCUUUGUGAUCAACAAUUUAUUGUUUUAAACAAAUAAAGCGCAUGUUGACUUUUGA